AAACGGUUUUAUUUUUAUAUCUUAGUGACACCUAUUCCAAGUAUUAUUGUCGCCCAUCGAACCGUUUUCUAUGAUCUCUAACUGUUCACUGUUUGAUAGAGGGCACUCCAGUCACUAGCCCAACUACUGUUUACUUUUUUUUCUCUUCUUCCAUCAACUGUGCGUCUGCCCGAGAGUCACCACACAAGGUAACGGGAGUGCUGGCUGUGCUGUGGGUUUGAGAGGCUGUGCUGUGAGGCGAGGCGAGGCAGUGGAGCAGCCCGUCCUCGGCCGCGCGGUAAUACUCCCCGGCGAGGCCGGACACUGGGCUGGAAGGUGAUAUCCCAUCGUGCUGCGUCCCUCCAUGUCGGCGGGCAGGCGGCGCGGCGCGGCGCGGCAGGUUUAGUGGACAAUGUGGCCCUGCUGCCAUGAAUACCCGGACAACCCUAACGGUCGUGUGUUUGGGUGGAGAACAAGCCAACAAGCGAACCGCCCACUACGGACUCGCGAGAAGUCGAAGAAAUUAACCCCGAGCUCGAGCGCCUCCUUGAGUCUCGCCUCGCAGCUUCACGGCCGCGGCGGACGCUCAGUGUGCUGUUUAUAUCAAGUGAAUUAAGACGGAGAAGCUGUUUUUCUGUGAAGUUUCAAUGUUUGUUUUUUUAUGUAUUUGAGGGUAUUAAGACGGGGAAGCUUUUUUUUCUGUGUAAGUUUCAAUGUUUUUUUUAUGUAUUUGAGGGUAUUAAGACGGGGAAGCCUUUUCUCUGUGUAAGUUUCAAUGUUUGUUUUCUAUGUAUUUGUGGGUAUUAAGACCGGGAAGCCUUUUCUCUGUGUAAGUUUCAAUGUUUGUUUUCUAUGUAUAUGUGGGUAUUAAGACCGGGAAGCCUUUUCUCUGUGUAAGUUUCAAUGUUUGUUUUCUAUGUAUAUGUGGGUAUUAAGACCGGGAAGCCUUUUCUCUGUGUAAGUUUCAAUGUUUGUUUUCUAUGUAUAUGUGGGUAUUAAGACGGGGAAGCCUUUUCUCUGUGUAAGUUUCAAUGUUUGUUUUCUAUGUUUUUGAGGGAAUGUGUUGCUUUGAUAUUUGUUAGUUUGUUUUGUUGUAUUUAAUCUCACUGAAAAAGCAGAAGCUAUAUAGAGCAGGGUUUCUUAAUCUGCCUCUCAGGUGGUUCGUGAUCCUAGUGCAUAUUUUUCAUUACUUUCAUCCUGUAAAAUGUGACUGAUGUCCUAGAUAGGUAGAAUUUGUAGCUUACUGAAUAUUUUGCUUGGAAGUUCCGUGAUUAUUUUGUGGAGGAAGGGGGUGAGGAAAGUAGUGGUGGUCCGUCCCUGUCGAGACGAAAAAAAAAUAGAAAUCCGUGCCAGGGUCUGAGAAGGAGGAUAACGUUGGUGCUUCCUGCUACAGCGAGUGACCUGACGUUCCCAGAUUCUUUACUUCCGUGGUCGUGAUUCUCUGCCAGUCGCUGAUUCUUGCACUUCCCUCAUGUUCUGCGAAACCCUGCGUCCAAAAGGAAGCGGCAAGAAACACUAUUUGAUUUAACUUGCGAAGUGAGAAACAACAAAAAUCUCUGGCAUCGCGUAAAGUUGCUUUGCCACACCUUUAAAAUAUUUUCGUCCGGCGGGCAAAAUGUGAAGACUUUUUACGUGUGUUUUUCGUGCAUAUCUCAAGGGCGUCCGACAUGAAUAUGAAUGAAAAAGACAGGGAACACUAAACAGCAAAAACUUAUUAAAAAGUUGCCCAUUGUUCAUCAGCUUAAAAACGAGGCUGGCUGGGCGAGUGGCUGGCUGGCUGGUUGAGUGGGCGAGAGGCAGGGUGGUUGGAUGGCUGGCUGGCUGGUGUCUGUCUGGCUGUCUGUCUGACUGGCUGACUAUAUAGGUAUCUGUCUGGGCGAGUAGCUGGCUGACUUGUUGACUGGGCGAGGGGCUGGGUGAUUGGCUAGCAGGCGAGUUAUCUGGCUGGCUGGCUGGGUAAGUGUCUGUCUGGGUGAGUAGCCGGCUGAAUGAGAGAUAAUACAUAGAUGAAUGGGUGACUGGGCAUGAAGUUGACUUUAGAUAAAUGGCUAUGACUGACUGGGUGAUCAACCGACUAACUAGCUUAUUUACUGACUGUAGUGACUGGCUGAAGAUCCGACCUGCCCGACAAACUGAAUGGCUGGAUUUGCUGCCUUACUAGCCGGCUGACUGACUGACUGGCUGACUGGCUGGUUGGCUGGGGCGUGGAGCGGCGGCGGCGAGGUGCUGUGAGCCGCCUCCCGUCGCGUGACCGAGAACUGUAUGGUCCGCAGCCGAUUAGUGAGGGAGAAAAUAGGUCUCGUGACUACUACUCGCCUGUCCUAACGCCCGACCGGCCCCUGACCCCACCUCGGACCACGACCCUAACAUUGCCCCCUGCCCCUGCCCGCCCGACCCAGACCCAGACGCUUCACAUGAUACAUCUACCACCCCGAGCCUUUCUCUCCUCCUUUCUUCAUUCAUUUAGAUCCUCGAGCCUUCCCUCCAUCCUUCCUUCACUCCCUAAUUCACCUCGCCGCCAGAUCUACACUGACCCGUCAUCGCCCCCUAUCCCUCCUCCUGCCUACGAACUUUACCUCCCCAACGCAUUCUCCUUCCUUUCUUAAUUCCUUCUUUCGUUCCUUCCUUUCUUCCCGUCUUCCUUCCUUUAAUCCUUCGCUCUUUCCUUUAUUUUUUCGUUUCGUCCUCUUUUCCUUCCUCCCUCCCUUCCUUUCUUACUUCCUUCCUUCGUUCCUUCCUUUCUGCCCGUCUUUCUUCCUUUAAUCCUUCGCUCUUUCUUCCUUUAAUCCUUCGCUCUUUCCUUUAUUCCUUCGUUUCGUCCUCUUUUCCUUUCUUUCUUCCUUCCUUCCUUCCUUCUCCUUUCCGCUAAGCUACAACUCCACACACAAACCCACUGCCAGCCAGCACACGCAUCUGGUCUUAUUUAUGACAUACUGUGCCGUCUUCCCAGACUGUCUUUCUUUUCUAAUACUGUAGCCUUUUAUCUCUGUAGCCACACUGUUUAUCCCCCUCUUUAUCUUUCUACCCAUACCAUUCUUAGCCCGCCCAAGCCAUCGCCUCUGCAAUAUUCUCCUACAUGACCAUUACCUCUUUACAUAGUCUUAUCGUACCUAAGCAUACCAGCAGAUUUCACCCUUUCUUCCUCUUUACCACUACUACAUCUAAUACCACUACAGUUAAUCUCACUAGACGCUUCAUCAUAACUACCAUAUACCUCCACUACCAAUAACACCUGACCAUUACUCCCCAACGACCAUAGCUACCUCAAACACCAUCACUACCACCACUUGUACCGCCACCACCACCUCACUCCACUAACAACUGUACACAGUGACCCGCCAGCCAGCCAACCAGUUACCAACCUCCUAUAGUCAGCCAACCCUUCACCAGUCUCACUUCGUCCAACCCAUCCAGCCCAAGCCCCCCAUCCGCCAGCCGUCCAGCCCCCCUCCCGGCCCCCGCCCCUCCUCCGCCUCCUGCCGUCACUGUUCGUGCUCCGUCAGGCCCUUCAGCUUUAAGCCAACCGGGAGGGAGUAAGUUUAUACCCGAGUUCAAAAUUAAAAUACCAUGAAGUUGUUGGUCUUUUGCCGUAUCUUGUGAAAACACCCGCGGCUGGUUGCUCGUUGCUGGUUGUGUGUGUGUGUGUGUGUGUGUUUUUAAUUCACCACCACGGCCUGAUCACGAGUUGGACUCGUAAUUGCCAGCAGGUACCCUCCCGACAUUAGCAAGUGCUCUUUUAUAGUCGAUCUCUGGGUACUGCCAUGACCUCACACACCACACACC